UAGCCACACCCUGCGCGCGCUGGUUACACCUGAUUUUUCAGGUAACUCCACAGUCUCUAGCGAUCCUCGUUCACGGAUGGCAUGGACAUUACGCGCUGCUGCAGAACGCUUUGAAGUGGAGCUUCCUACAAACAGCGACUUCGUAAAGUCCAUAAACAAACCAAGAUGAAUCAAAAGGACAUUGAAUACGGUGGAGUGGCCGUGAUGCCGAAAAGAGAUGUGAGCUGGAUUCCACAUUUCUUUAAAAAGAGAGUGUGCACAACAUUUGUGGAGGACUCUUUCAGCAAUGGCGGUCUGUGUCAGUGUGGGUCCACGCGAGACACGCACCCCUCAGGAGCCCUGGGCGAUAACUUCAGCACAGCCAUGGUCAGUCACUGGGACAGUGCACAGCACUCCUGCGAACAGCCCACAGAUGCCUAUGGAGAGCUGGAGUUCGCUGGGGCCGGCAAGAGACACAGCUAUUUUUUGCGUCUCUCCAGCACCACAGAUCCUUCCAGGGUCUUCAAUGUCAUGAGAGAACACUGGAAACUGGCACAUCCCAACCUGGUGGUGUCAGUGUUUGGUGGUGAGAAAAGGUCAGAGGUCAAGACCUGGGUCCGAGAGGUGCUGAGGCAGGGGCUGGUUAAAGCUGCACAGAGCACAGGAGCAUGGAUCAUAAGUAGGGGGUUGAAGGAAGGCCUCGGCAGGAGUAUAGGAGAAGCUGUGAGAGAUUAUGCCACCGCAACGUCUUCUGUCACUCUCAGUAAAGUGGUUCUCAUUGGCAUUGCUCCCUGGGGCCUGGUAAAAGAUCACCAACAGCUCGUCAACCCUGAGGGAAGUUUCCCCGCAAAGUAUUUAGUCAAAAAUGCAGCGCGUGACUCUUGCUCUCUGGAUAAUAACUACAAGGCUUUCCUUCUGGUGGAUGAUGGGACCAUAGGGCGUAAAGGUGGUGAGGUCAGCUUCAUAGCCCGUCUGGAGGAUUACAUUUCACGUCAGCGCACAGACAGUGCAAGCUUUGACAUUCCUGUUCUGAAUAUGCUGAUAUCUGGAGAAGCGUCAAUGUUGGAGGCAUUAGAUAUCUCUCUGAAGAAUUCAAUGCCCUGGUUGGUCCUGGCUGGUUCGGGGGGGCUUGCCAAUCUUGUGUGCGACAUCAUGGAGAACGUGCAAUCUGCACCGAUGACCUCAACUGGAGGAGCAGAGAAGGAGGAAGGGACUCACAACACGGAGCUUAGAGAACGAUUGGCGGAGAAAGUAAUGAAAUACUUUCCUUCAGAGCAAGAGAUGGACAAACUUGUUGACAAGGUUUUGAGCAUCUACCAAAACAAAGACCUCAUCUCCAUUUAUGACGCGGAACAGGGAGGAGUGGAUAAUUUUGACACUGUGAUGCUUAAAGUGCUUGUUCAAGCGAGUAAAAAACCCAUUCCGGGCGUUACUAAUCCCUAUGCUGAUGAGUUGAGGCUUGCUGUAACGUGGAACAGAGUGGACAUUGCCAAGAGUGAACUCUUCAAUGGAAACAUCGACUGGAAGUAUGACGAUCUGAAAGAUUCCAUGACUGACGCGCUGAUGAACAAUAAACCACAGUUUGUGCGUCUCUUCAUUGACCACGGUCUGAACAUUUUGAGCUACCUGACUUACGGCCAACUGGAGGAUCUUUACAACUCCAUCUCUGACAGCUGCCAGGCCGGGAAACUGCUGCAGCAGAUCCUGAAUGAGCGCAAGAACGAGUUCAGCAAUGAUAAGAAAUGCCGCAUUAGCCUUUAUGAGGUGUCCCAACUGCUGGAGAAUCUGUUAGGGGAGGUAUGCCAGCCUUUCUACAAGUCUGUACUUGGUGUGAAUGCAAAUUCAAGAAAAGCUUUUAAGAAAGCAUGCCAGGUCCUGCAGGGGGAAUGUAGCUAUCGGAGGAACUUGUGUAAGCAUCCGUGGUUAUGUCUCUUCAUCUGGGCAGUGCUGCAGAACCGCAGUGAGAUGGCCAUCUUCUGCUGGGAAAUGUGCGGCGAGUCGGUUCUGACGGCUCUGGGAGGAUGUAAGCUGUUGAGGGAGCUGUCUAAACAGGGGAUUGAGUCAGAGGCCAAGAUUUCCAUUAAGGAGAUGGCCAUGAAGUUGGAGAAUAUGGCUCACGAUGUGUUUAGCAUGUGCUACCAAACCAAAGCAAGUGAUUCCUAUAAGCUACUGAUUAACAAGUCUCGUAUGUGGGGUGAUGCCACCUGUCUGAAGAUGGCCAUGGCCGCUGACGCCCGUGUUUUCUUCAGCCACGAUGGAGUACAGUCGCUUCUGUCUCAGAUCUGGUGGGGUGACAUGGAAAGAGGAACUGAGCUCUGGAAACUGGUGCUGGCUCUGAUCAUUCCUCCUGUCUGCUACACCAACCUCAUCAAAUUCAGGAACGAGGAUCACACGGAAAGGGAGAACUCACUGAUAGCACCUCCACCCUCAGCAACAGACUGCCACUAUGGAGAGACUGUCUUCUCCUUCAAUGACAUCAAACACCACAGUGAAGCCGAGCAAGAUGACUCAAAUAAUAUCAGACGACCAACAAAAGGUACUCCUGCAUACGGCAAACCUAAGCAGCCCUUUCUGUUGUCCCGCUGGAGGCAGUUCUGGUACGCUCCUGUCACUACAUUUAUCGGCAACGUUCUGAUGUACUUCCUCUUCCUGUUUCUGUAUGCCUACGUGCUAUUGGUUGACUUCAAACCGCCUCCUCCUGAUGGCCCUGCCCCUUCCGAGUAUGUGCUGUAUUUCUGGGUUUUCACUAUCGUGUGUGAGGAGAUUCGUGAGGCAUUCACAAUGGGAAGUAAGACAUUUGGUCAGAGGUUGAUGCUGUAUGCUCAGGACAAGUGGAAUAAGUUUGAUGUUCUUGCCAUCUCCCUCUUCAUUGCUGGUUUGUGCUGCAGGAUGUUCAGUUGGUCAUACAACAUGGGACGUGGUAUACUGUGUAUGGACUACAUGGUCUUCACGCUCCGACUCAUUCACAUUUUCGCCAUUCACAGACAGCUGGGUCCCCAAAUCAUCAUACUUGGCAAAAUGAUAAAGGAUGCGUUCUUCUUCUUAUUCUUUCUGGCGGUGUUUCUGAUCGCAUAUGGAGUGGCCAAUCAAGCGCUACUAUAUACAUAUGAUCCAAGCCCUGAUAGAGCGUUUCGACGAGUAUUGUACAGACCAUAUUUGCAUAUAUUUGGACAUAUUCCUGUGGAAGAAAUUGACACUGACAGCUAUUGGGAUCAGGACUGCACAGAUAAUCUGACAUUGAUUAAUGAAGGGAAAGAGCCAUGUAGAGACACCAGCCACAACUGGCUUGUGAUCAUUUUGCUGGUCAUCUUCCUACUGGUCACCAACAUCCUACUUGUCAACCUGCUCAUCGCCACAUUCAGCUAUACCUUCUCUAAGGUUCAGGAGCACAGUGACACAUACUGGAAGUUUCAGCGGUAUAAUCUAAUAGUGGAGUAUCAUUCUCGUCCAAAUCUCGCUCCACCCUUCAUCAUCCUAUCCCACAUCAACCUCUUUAUCAAAAGAAACUUCUGCAAAGUGCCAUCCACCAAAAUCCAUCAUUUUGCCAUUCAUUUAAAGGGUAGAGAAGCUAACAAGCUGGUGAAAUGGGAGAACUUGCAGAAGGAGAACUUCCUGGCUGUGGAGAGCAAAAAACAAAGAGAGACCGACUCUGAGAGGCUGAAACGCACGAAUGCUAAGGUGGAUGGUGUCCUCAAACAGGUCAGAGAUGUUGACCGCAGGCUGCAAGCACUGGAAGCAGAAGUAAAGACACAGAUGGAGUUCUGUACAUCUUCUCUUCAGUGGAUUAUGGAUACUCUGUCUCAAAGCAGUACAGCGAAGGGCGCUAAAGCACACCCUACACGCAAAGCUGUUGUUUCAGCCUCCCUUGACCUUGAGAAAUGAAAGAGCCUUCUCUUCUGGAUUCGUCUUCUGUCUCUCACUCUCACUCUCACGGACACAUGCAGCAAGAAGCAGCAGAGAGCCAGUGAAAGGAGGGGCGAUGACUUGUCAAAAAACUACCCUUAUUGUUCUGGUUUCCCAUUUUAAAUGGGUCAUCCUGGCCUUUUCAAGGUUCAUCCUGCUCUUUUGACUUUAGUACUCCCAAAUGACCUGUCCUCGUUUUCCAUGUGAUUGUAUGAAUGACUGGAGUAAGAGAACAGGGCACAGAAUGUCCUUGAACUUAUUGUACACUGAAAGGUCAGUUAUGUCAUGUUACAUUCAUAGAUCGAUCAAAUAACAGUUUUAUGAUCAGUAAAUCUGGUUAUUUUUUUUAAAGGUCAAGGUGAUUGUAUUCAUAAAAUUUGAUUUUAUAGAGCUAUAACAUUAUUUAGAAGAAAGCGACAUGGCUUAAAAGCUAUUAUUAUACAUUAUAACUUCUGCAUACAACAUUUUAUGCCUUAUUGGUUUUGAACAAAAAACCCUGAACACUGCACAUUUAUUGAUUAUGUAAUCAUGGCAAACUAUGUUACAGUACAUCAAAUAAGCCUCAUGUUCAAAAGGUUUUUUUUGUUUUUUUAUAAAUAAAUCUUACUAUAUUAUUUGACAAACCAAACAAACAUCAAUAAUUGAGUGUUUUUACACUCAAACAUGCAACUGAAUGACACAGUGAAUGUUUACAUUUUAAAUAUAGCAGAAUAUUUUUCACUUUUUCAUAAGAUCAAAUGUAAUUGCAUGCUGUAACCAUGUUCUUGGACUUUGCAUGUUUUUUUUUUUUUUUUUUGAUAUUUAUAUCGUUACAUUUUGUGAUUAUUUUAUUUUAUUUUUUAUGAUAUUGUAUUUUGCCUGUUGUUUUUGUAUUAGACUACAUUUUAAUAUAUGUUCUGAAACCAUAACAUCUAAUAACUAUUUAAGGGAUUGUAAUGUUUUGGCAACCUCAGCAGACAGAGAUGAGAUUAAUAGAUUGUCUGUCCAAGUUUGCCUCUCGGAUUUCAGGGGCAACAAAGAUCCUUCACUAUGUCCUCUCUACCCUAAUCCUCACCCCUUCAAAACAAAUUAAAACCAGCUAAAAGAAUCCUAAUGUACUCUCUGGACUUGUACACCCCACUUGAGAGAGGAAAUGUAAUUGCUUUGAAUGCAGGCCUCACUGAGCCAUCGGAUUUCAUCAAAAAUAUCUUAAUUUGUGUUCCGAAGAUUAACGAAGGUCUUACGGGUGUAGAACGACAUGAGGAUCUUACUACAAACCUGGUAAAAAAUGACUGGCGAGCAAUGAAGGAAAGCCUUGUUUUGCCCGCCAGGGGGGCGUUCCCCUCGGGACUGAAGAAAGAAGGACAUGGACAUCUUGGAUGACAUGGGGGUAAGUAAAUUAUCAGGAAGUUUUUAUUUGAAAGUGGACUAAUCCUUUAAUCUGAGAGGCUGCUUAUUUGUUCUUUGUCGAUCAGGUAUGUUUUAUUUCGUUUUUUUUAAUUUUUCUCUGUUUUCUCAUGUUCAUGGUUUUCAUUAUGUCCCUUUUGUAAUAUAAUCUAAUGGGAGAGAGCACAAUAAGGGCCAUCUGAGAGGCUGCUUAUUUGUUCUUUGUCGAUCAGAGUAAAAAGAUACAGUGAAUUUGCCUCCUGCUGUCCCGCGUCUGUCUCCGCGACGCAUACGCGAGCCACCGGUUACAUAUAUUUUUAUGCACUAUCGAUCGCCACUUAGACUAAAUUAAUGCAGAAUCAUUAUCGCGUUUUGGUGAUUCCCUAGUUAUUUUUUUGUUAUUGGCGUUUUAAUCAGGCUAGGCUACUUGUCCGGUCGGGCAAGUAUAAUUUUCUUUCACUUGCCCCUUUAAAAAAAAUCCACUUGUCCCGGACAAGCGUUAAUGUCGAGCCCUGCGACGUGAGUUUAGACUGCUUCAGUAGUCUAGGUCCAGUGCUUUACGACGACUCUGUUGUGUCGCGUCAAUGGAGUGGUACGUUAAUUCUUCCCCUUUUUUUUUUUUUUUUUUUUUUUUGUCCGUCCGUUUAAUUCAUAAUUAAUGUUAGUGUGCAAUGAGGUUGAUCUCAUUUGUGCCCCCCUGGAAAAAAUUAAUGCCCGUCCGUGAAUUUGUGUCUGGCGACACAAUUAACUUGACAAACUUUCCUUUUAAUAAGCCUUUAUCUGACUGAAUUCUUCUCUGCUCUGAAUCACUCACAAAUCCUUCAACAGUUCAAUAAUCUCUAUUUAGUUUUUGCAGAAUAUAAGUUGUUUUCAUGACUUUUCAAGGCAUUGCACUGUUUCAUGAUUUUCAUCUUCAAAAAGAUCUUUCUUUCUCUCCAUAUUGCACAAGAACCUGUGACUUGCUUAAUAAUGUGGAACAACUUAUUUAAGUAGGUUUUCCAUUUACCCAAGAAGACCUGGCAAACUACUGAACAAAGCAGUCUGAGACUGAUAUCUAAAAAGAUAUGAGAAAUAUUUUUUAUUUUACUGAAAUCCUACUGAUAUGUCAUUUGGAAAAUAAUUUGGAACACAAUGUAUAGAUUCAAAUCAGUUAAAUCAGACAGUCACAGGUGCCUGAGAGUAAAGGAAUAUGCUAGAGAUAUGCUAAAGACAGACAAUAAAUUAUGUGAAUGGAAGAAUAGUUACAACAACUUAAAAUCAAUUAGACAUAAAUUGAAUUAGCACUAAUCUUAAUUGUUUAAAAUAUGAUUGUAAAAGUUGUAUUAAUUCUGUUAAGAUGAUAUUGCCUAUGAGUCAACUAAAAAGUGAAGGCGCUAUCUUCUCUUUUAAUUGGAUAUUUGUAACAAAUGAAUCAUUUGUAUUAACAAGCACCCCACCCACCAAUAUCCUCUCAUCCCUUUAGUGCCCCCUUUUUUUCGGUUUGGGCCACUGCCCCUCAAAAUGUCUGUGCAUGGCUCUGUGAUUUGUUUUUGCCUUCCACUUCACCUACAGGACGGUGAAGACGUUACUCUGAAUACGUUUGGUGUUCUUCACAGCGCCAUCUUUUGGUGAACAGAGGAACUACAGACUCGUGGUCAAAUCAUUCACUUAAGGCGAGCAGCUCAGAGAGGCUGUCAGCUUGGAACAUGUCAGGUACACAACCUGGCCAGCAAGUUAUACCAAAUGGGUCAGAGUACUGGAAAAGACGAAUCCAAUUUGACUACUGAUCAGGAUAUGGCUUAUUAACUCUGUCUUUGAUAGAUGUUGUUUAGGCUGCUUACUGUAUAAAAGUUGUUUAAAAAUUGUAUAUAAAGGUGACAAAAGUACUAAAAUGAAUAAAUAACAGGCAGAAAUAA